UACGUAGGGGGCAAGCGUUGUCCGGAAUUAUUGGGCGUAAAGCGCGCGCAGGCGGUCCUUUAAGUCUGAUGUGAAAUCUCACGGCUUAACCGUGAGCGGUCAUUGGAAACUGGGGGACUUGAGUACAGAAGAGGAGAGUGGAAUUCCACGUGUAGCGGUGAAAUGCGUAGAGAUGUGGAGGAACACCAGUGGCGAAGGCGACUCUCUGGUCUGUAACUGACGCUGAGGUGCGAAAGCGUGGGUAGCAAACAGG
rnacentral:rRNA from 1 species